rnacentral:tRNA from 1 species
AGGAACUUAGGAUAAUACAAACCCGGGGCCUUCAAAGCCCCCAAUAAGAGUCCAACCUCUUAGCUCCUG